CUCUAAGAAAGAGUUGCACUGCAUAGACAAGAGCUGUUAUUUUAUGGAAUGAUUGUCUAAAUCUUUUAACCUAAUGUUCAAUUAAAGAUAUAACUUUUGUUUUUAGCUUCAGUGAAAUUGAUCAGUACAAACAAACAUAGUUUUUAGCAUAAAAAGACAAAAUGUUAUUUAAAUCACAAUACAUCUCAAUGAAUUUCUAUAUUUUUAUGAUUUCAGAUUAAAAGUGUUAACCAAUAUUCAACUAAUAAAACACCUUUCUGCUUUUGAAAAAAAAUGGCAUGGCAGGGGGAGUGAGGGCAUGGCAUGCCAUGCUUCUGGGGGAAAAAAUUACCCCCCAAAAGGGCGAAGUCAUUUAGAACCAACAUUCACAUAAAACUUAGGUGUGAUAAAGGUAAAAGCUGAAAAAUCUGACACUUGUAUUCAUAACAAAUCACUGGUUUUUUGAUGUGCCUUUCGAUAAUUAUUCCCACAUAUGGCUAACUGCAACCAGAGUCUCAUUUACUCUUAGUGUUUUGCAAUGAUUCUUUCGAAAAAAUAAAAGCAGUAAAAGUACUGAGUAAAACAGUGAAAGUAAAAAGAAAAGUAAAAAGAGUAAAAGUAAAAUAUUAUAGUGUGUAUUAUUAUAUUCUGUUUCCUCUGGUUUUGCAUUGUGUUGCUGGGAGGGAUUCGCUGCCCUACAGUUAAUGCCACUGUUGUAAGCACAUCUCAUAUGAUAAUAAAGAACAUGAGGAUCUUCCAUGAGUUGCCUGUUGUCACGGUAACAGAAUGUUUACACUUAUACAAACUCACAGAAAUUGCCUGGGCAACCAAAAUGUUUAUAUAGCUACAGAAUUUUGCCAUGCAAUAUUCAUAUUGGCCCCUGUUGAAGAAGGCUCUCACAACUCAUGGUCCUUUUCAUAACAGACCUCCAGCAUGGAUUUUCUCUGUCUACUUUACCCAGUAUUAUCCCUGAAGUACUUUACACCGUUGAUAUGUGUUGUUGGCUUAGUGAUUGCUGCAGCUAGCUCAAUUCUCAUCUGCACGAGACUCCAAGGCACCCAGCACCUUAUCCAAGGGAAACCUGAUGAACACGGUGAUCAGACCAAGGUGCCUGCUCCAGAGAGUGCUGACAAGCCUGCUGAGGACAUCUCUGGGGAAGCCUCUUUGGAUACCUCUGAAGAGCCUGCUCCAGGCAACAUCGAGGGGCCCGCUCUUGGCAUAUUUGAGGAACCCGCUUUGGGCAUCUUCGAGGAGCCAACUCUAGCCACCCAAACCCCACUCCAAGAAGACUUCUAUGAACAUGCUGACCUGGUGGAGUUCCUUCCCCAAGAAUAUCAGGGAGUCUCCCAGUCUGGGCACCUUUAAAUCCAGGCUCAAGAUCCACAUGUUCACAUCGCUUUCUGAUAAUACAUUUAAAUGCUCCAUUUGUCCUUUCAUUUGUUUGACUAAUAUUUUAUCUUCAUAAAAUGUUGCUGCUUUUGUUUCAUUAUUUACAUUUAUUAAUUUAGCUGACGUGUCAGUUUUGGGUACAUUCAAUCUUGUUCAAAGCCGAAAAGCCAUUUCCAAUUCAAUAUCCUUUAUUAAAUGUCACCAAGUUUUGCAGUUAAUUUUGGAGACAUAAUUAAAUUUACUUUAAGACCACCCACUGCUGCCCUGUGCUCUUUUAUUUCAUCGGUCUUCAUUGCUUGUUGCUUCAAAUCUGCCGUCAAAACUGCCCACCUCUCACCAUUAAAGCGCUGUUCUAUGGACCCACACUCAGUGUAAAACUGUAGACCCUACUUCCUUCUCUCUGUCCAAACCUCAAGUGUACUCUUUACAGUUAGUGACAUUCUUGCCCAGAAUGAUUGCUCUGAGGGGUAUCAGUAUCAGUCCAUUUUCAAGAUCAUUUUCCCAAAACUACAAAGUUCUUCACUGAUGGCCAGUAGUAG
rnacentral:lncRNA from 1 species